GGACAAUUUUCUCCUGCUGGGGACGCUUGCGGACAGCAGGGGGCCGGCCAUCUGGCUCUCGUCAGCCCUCCCCGCCCCGACAUCCUCCCUCUGCUCCAGCCCUGGCACACGUCCUCAUGCUGAGUUCCCGGCAGAAGGGGGACGGGAGGACAGUCGGGCUUUGUCCUCCCGCCCAGGCACAUCCUUGCCCUGGCACUGGGCAGAAAGGGAGGGCCGAACCCUGCCCACCAGGCUGGCCCUGCAGGGGACUCUUCCUUUGUGACCAGGGCAGUGUGGCCAGAGAGAGGGUUCUCUGGCCUUCGAGGUUGCCACAGGUCGCCGCAAGGGGGAGACCUUGGACGUGCCCUGAAGGCGUUCCAGCAGGUGCCAGGCCAGGCCCUGUGGAUCCCCCCUCUUCUGACCGUUUCUUCGGUGGCGGCUGCUCGCCCAUCACAUCGGCCAGGUGGGCAACACUCUGUGCUUGGGAGCCCGGGGGACGGGCCGGGCUUCGAGAGACCCACGGUCCCUCUAGCUCAGCAUCCACUGGAGACCAGGAAAUAUCAAAUAUUGCUUCCUUGAAAGCAACACGACCCCUAGUCUUUGGACUAUUUCUUCAAAAGGUUGAACUGCGUUACAGAAUACUCUCCUCAAUGACUUAGUUUAUAAGAUCUCCUACUGGAAAACACGUGCCUCCAAGGUGAACUUCAGUGCCCUGAGUAACCUCUGAGAGUCAGGACAAGGCUGUAAGACUCCAGUCUUUUCCCAUUAAAGCACCACGAGCCUCCCUCCCUCCCGUGCGUGCGUGCUCCCCUCCGUCCUGCCUUGCCCGAUUGCUCAAGUUCAACUCUGAACUUCAGCGGAGGGAGAGAGACACACAGGGCCCCAGGGGCCGGCUGGGCCACUGCUGGAAGGACUUCUGGGCUUUGUUUGCAAACUUAAAUGUGCUUUGAAAGUAA